UACGGGGGGGGCAAGCGUUGUUCGGAAUUACUGGGCGUAAAGGGCUUGUAGGUGGCCAACUAAGUCAGACGUGAAAUCCCUCAGCUUAACUGGGGAACUGCGUCUGAUACUGGAUGGCUUGAGAUUGGGAGAGGGACGCGGAAUUCCAGGUGUAGCGGUGAAAUGCGUAGAUAUCUGGAGGAACACCGGUGGCGAAGGCGGCGUCCUGGACCAACACUGACACUGAAAAGCGAAAGCCAGGGGGGCAAACGGG
rnacentral:rRNA from 1 species